GAUGAACGCUGGCGGCGUGCCUAAUACAUGCAAGUCGAGCGAACAGACGAGGAGCUUGCUCCUCUGACGUUAGCGGCGGACGGGUGAGUAACACGUGUAUACCCUACCUAUCAGACUGGGAUCACUUCGGGAAACCGGAGCUAAUACCGGAUAAUAUAUUGAUCCGCAUGGUUCAAUAGUGAAAGUCGGUUUUGCUGUCACUUAUAGAUGGAUCCGCGCCGCAUUAGCUAGUUGGUAAGGUAACGGCUUACCAAGGCGACGAUGCGUAGCCGACCUGAGAGGGUGAUCGGCGACACUGGAACUGAGACACGGUCCAGACUCCUACGGGAGGCAGCAGUAGGGAAUCUUCCGCAAUGGGCGAGAGCCUGACGGAGCAACGCCGCGUGAGUGAUGAAGGUCUUCGGAUCGUAAAACUCUGUUAUUAGGGAAGAACAAAUGUGUAAGUAACUAUGCACGUCUUGACGGUACCUAAUCAGAAAGCCACGGCUAACUACGUG
rnacentral:rRNA from 1 species